rnacentral:rRNA from 1 species
UACGUAGGGUGCGAGCGUUAAUCGGAAUUACUGGGCGUAAAGCGUGCGUAGGCGGUUCCUCAAGUCCGUUGUGAAAGCCCCGGGCUCAACCUGGGAAUGGCAGUGGAAACUAGGGGACUGGAAUCUGGCAGAGGGGGGUGGAAUGCCGCGUGUAGCAGUGAAAUGCGUAGAUAUGCGGAGGAACACCGAUGGCGAAGGCAAUCCCCUGGACCUGUACUGACGCUCAUGCACGAAAGCGUGGGGAGCAAACAGG